GGGCCCUUUAUAUGUCCAGCUGUCCUUUGUCAACAACAAAUUGUCACUGUUUUUUGUGUUGAAUAUAUGCUAUAUGGUAAUUUAUGGACCUAAUAGGUCCAUACCCAACACAAAACACUGUUGAUGUACAUAGGUUUUAUUUUAUUUGGUUUUUUAUCUUAUAUUUUGGAAAUGUACACCCAGGUUUUUCCCCCUUUAAAUUUUUGGGGGCUCCCAAGAGACAGGGGCCCUAAGCUAUAGCUUGUUUAGCUUAUACGUAAAUCUGGGGGAGUGUGAGAUCUUGGCUCCCCCUUCACUGUGGCCCUGAUGAAACACACAUACAGAGGCUGCUUUUUAGAGGGAACAUCGUUAUAAGAAUGUUUUGCAGAGGGGAGAGCAAUGGAGUCUUGCUGACAGCUGCUAGAUGGGCAAAGAAGCAGGAGGCAGCAUUGGGACAGAAGAGUUGGUGAUUCAACAUAACUACACAAAAGCUUUUAAAGCAGUCAUUUAAAGGUCAUUGAGACAGGGGGUGCAGAGCCAAUCUGUCUACAACAAAAGGUUUUGACAACAGACAGAACUGACAGAAGCCAACAGAAGGCAAGGCAGCCUGAGGGGCUCCCUGUAUUUUCUUUCCCCGUGGCCAUAUAAGAAGGGGUUGGGGCCCUUGCCUGAGGGAUGUCAAGGCCUGACAGACUUUCCCCAAUGUGGAGGGGGGAGAGAGAUAGGAAUGAGGGUGACGUCUUGAAGAAGAGCAAUCAUUUGUUACUUGAUGGGCCCAAUUGGCAAUACCGCAGUCUGUCAAGCUCUCCAUUUCUAGAGGCACAAAUGUCAGUAAACUUCAAUGAGAACCUUUCAGCACUUGAAAUAAUACCUGGGUUGGGUGCGGGGCCUAAAGCAAGAAUACAUCCCACAACAGUCUUUGGCAAUUACAGGGAUGGAGUUCCACUAAUGUGUAGAGUGUGUGUUGUUGUUGUUUAAUGGCUUGUGUGAAAAAGCAAGGAAAUUAAGGCACACAGGCUUAACUUCCACACCAUGUAAGAAGCAUACAUGAUCAACAUCCUCACAUAUUGUGCUUACUUUUAGCCCUUGUGAACCCUGGCACUCCCUGUUAUUUUUUCUUCUGGUCCGAAACAUCUUCCACUGCAGCUGGAGAGACACUGGAACUCAGGACGCUAUGACAGCAAUGGCCAUUUAGCAACAUACUUGCCCUCUACUGUCCCUUUAUGCCUUCAUUGUGGUUAACACGGAAUGGUAUAUGUUUGUAGUGACAAGGAUGAGGUUGAUUGAUAGAGGAUGCAGACGUGGACCCAAUAACAGGCCUAAACAGGCAUUAUUGAGGCUUUCUAUAUUACUCUGCCGCAAGAGAAAGGAGAAGGUGAGUCUUGCGUUUAUGAGUCGGUAUGCCUAGAACAGGGUUAGAACACUUUGUAAGGAAUUAAUUAAAUCUUUAGAAUUGACAGAGCAAAUUUGCAGGUCUGAUGAUCUCAAAGUAGGGAUGGGCUGAGCAGUUUGUUGCAUCCUCUUGCUCAGCCAUAGGUCUAUUCUGCUCUCUUUUGUGUGGAUUUUUUCACUGAAUGAACAAAAAGCAUGCAGUUGAAUUGCAUGUAUUUUGCCCACGUGUUUUAUGUAAAUAGCACACUUUUGAUGCAAAAUGUGCCCUUUUCAAUGUAUUCAUCCAUAAAAAUAUGCAUUUUGUGUGCAUCUUUUGAGAUACAAUAUGUAUCUUUGUGUGAACUUUUCCCACACAAAAACUGCACUGCAAAGUCAGGAGAAGUGUGUAAUCAGACUGGGAGUUGUGUUCCAAUCCACACGCAACCUUGAAAGUAUCAGAUCAGAUCAGUCCCACAGCGAAAAAGCACGCCAAACAAAUUCCUCCCCAUCUCUCCUCAAGUUUGAAUAGUUCAGCCUUUCAUUCGUUAGCUGUUAGUUUUACUUUUCCUCAAACAUUCACAAGGUUGCAUUCUGCAGCUUAAGAUAAGACAUGAAAGAAGUUAGUAAUUAAGAAUUUAGCAUUGAAAAAGAUUACAUAUUAUUAACUUUUGACAUAACACUGAUGGCUUUGUCAAAUUGGCAUGUGCCCAGUUUGUAGAUGAAGAGGAUUAACGCUGAAAAGCACAUGCGAAGACAAACCAGAAUGCACAGUAACAUGCUACAUGUGAAUACACACAGCAAUAUGUUAGGAGUGCAUGUGCCACAGUCUACCACUUGCAAACGAACAUAGUAAUCUGCAAAUACUGGGGCACUUGCAAAGAGACAGAGUAUCAUAAGGAGCAGUACAUUCAGAUGUGGGGUUUAUUGUGUUCGUUUCAUUAGUUAUAAUGUUAGUGCCUCUGUCCUACUUUCUAACAAUUCCUUUUAGAUUGUGCAACUGUGGCUUUUGAUCGAUAUACUGCUGCUGCUGCUGCUGCUGCUGCUGCUGCUGCUGUUCUUUAGUCGUUUAGUCUUGUCCGACUCUUCAUGACCCCAUGGACCAGAGCACGCCAGGCCCUCCUGUCUUCCACUGCCUCCCGCAGUUUGGUCAAACUCAUAUUUGUAGCUUCAAGAACACUGUCCAACCAUCUCGUCCUCUGUCAUCCCCCUUCUCCUUGUGCCCUCAAUCUUUCCCAACAUCAGGGUCUUUUCCAGGGAGUCUCCUCUUCUCCUGAGGUGGCCAAAGUACUGGAGCCUCAACUUCAUGAUCUGUCCUUCCAGUGAGCACUCAGGGCUGAUUUCCUUAAGAAUGGAUAGGUUUGAUCUUCUUGCAGUCCAUGGGACUCUCAAGAGACUCCUCCAGCACCAUAAUUCAAAAGCAUCAAUUCUUCGGUGAUCAGCCUUCUUUAUGGUCCAGCUCUCACUUCCAUACAUCACUACUGGGAAAACCAUAGCUUUAACUAUACAGACCUUUGUUGGCAAGGUGAUGUCUCUGCUUCUAAGAUGCUGUCUAGGUUUGUCAUUGCUUUUCUCCCAAGAAGCAGGCAUCUUUUAAUUUUGUGGCUGCUGUCACCAUCUGCAGUGAUCAUGGAGCCCAAGAAAGUAAAAUCUCUCACUGCCUCCAUUUCUUCCCCUUCUAUUUGCCAGGAGGUGAUGGGUUAAAAGGUUCUUUAAUUCCUCCUCACUUUCUGCCAUCAAGGUUGUGUCAUCUGCAUAUCUGAGGUUGUUGAUAUUUCUUCCGUCGAUCUUAAUUCUGGCUUGGGAUUCAUCCAGCCCAGCCUUUCACAUGAUGAAUUCUGCAUAUAAGUUAAAUAAGGAGGGAGACAAUAUUCAGCCUUGUCGUGCUCCUUUCCCAAUUUUGAACCAGUCAGUUGUUCCAUAUCCAGUUCUAACUGUAGCUUCUUGUCCCACAUAGAGAUUUAUUUGUUAUUUCUGUAAGCUGCUUAGAGUCUGUUUCAGUAUUAAGUGGUAUAUC